ensembl:lncRNA
CAAAUUUAAAGUGGAAUCAGGUGUGGCUUCUGUUUGGCUAGAAUGAAAGUACCUUUUGUGGAUAAGUUUGAAGACCUUUGCUCUACAUUGUCUUUUAGUUAGCUAGCUAAUCUUACAGUAAAUGGCUAGUCUGCUAUCACUGGCCCCAGAACUAUACUAAACUCACACACAAAUCAGAGCAAGCGUUUUCUCCACAAGUUGUGUUUUUGUUAAUUGGUUAGCACUGAUUGGAUAGCUUGCUCAAUUGACACCAUGGAUCUGUGAUCAAGGUCGUAAUGCACAAACAGACUGCUGUGAGCUCAGACCAAGAACUCUGCCAAAAGAGUGACCUAGCUAAAACACAACCUCUUUUAAAGAAGCAACUUGAGAACAGAGAUGGGUGGGAGAGAAAACAGAAAAAAGAAAGAAGCAGUAUACAGAAGUCCAUCCUGCAGCCACUCAUCUCCCUGCUUCAACAAUGACCAAUAAAUGAGCUACAAAACUGUGCAGGACUCCUCCUACCAAGAAAUAUGUCUAAGCUUGGCUAGAAGUGUCUCGUUUCAUCCCCUCAUCCCUUUUUGAAAAUAAAUGAACUGUAUAGUAAUUGAUUGGGAUUGUUUGUACCGUUCACAACAAAGAUAAUAUAUUUGUUGUAUAUAUGUUUUAAAGUGAGUGCAUGUAUGCGUGUUCACCAUGAAUGUCUUUAUCUCUGAAACAAAGAAUAACCAUGAACCAUACUGAACAAGCCAAAAUCCCAGUAGUUACACUGACGUUACUGAAAUUCCAGUAGCUGCCGUGAUGUGAAUUGUAAUGUCUAGUGUCUUGUUAUCCUCAGCAUGCCAUAUCCAAAAACCUGCUACUAUAC